rnacentral:misc_RNA from 1 species
GGAUCAAAACUUGGAAAUGCAAAUUUCAUCACAUUACAAACUGCAGAUAAUAUAAAUAAGUAGAUAUCAACAGCAAAGAAUUACAUAAUGAACUGAUACUAAUUUGCCUAUAGCCUAUAGCAUGUCAUCAAAGCUUAUAAAGCCUCUUGUGCACGGUGAGCACAGUAGCAAGCAUAUCCAUAAGUAGAUCUCUGUAUCCACACCUCUGCAUGUAUACGUGUUGUGUGUCUCUCACAAAGUAGAGGAAUUUCUGGAGCCAUGCAUCUUUUGAUCCUGUGAAUGAGGAGGUAGAGAUGGAGAUGACACUGCUGCAUGGUAAGAAGAUGAAGCAAGUUGGGCUAGCGCUGGAACAGCACCACCUGCUAAACCCGCGCAGGCAGAAGAGAAUACUAUUACAGGACCGAUAAGGAAAUGCAUCCACAUUGGUCCUUUUACCCACUUUCUAACAAUUGGCAUCACAU